CAACUAUAAGUGCUAUGUUUGGAGAGGGAUCAACAAGACCUUUAGUGAAAAGAAUCCCAUCCCCAUUGUGAAGCAAGGUGGUGGCUCACUGAUGUUUUGGGGGAGAGGGGUUGAGCUCUAAAGGCACAGGGAAUCGUGUGAAAAUUGAUGGCAAGAUGAAUGCAGCAUGUUAUCAGAAAAUACUGGCAGACAAUUUGAAUUCUUCUGCACGAAGGCUGUGCCUAG